UCCAUCGAGAGGCGGAGUCUGAAGGAAGCUGGAUGCCAGCGGGCAAACUCCCGAACCGACGAACAGAAAUCACAUAGUAGACCGUAGAGGAACGGACGAGUGUGCAUAACAACACAAGAUCCAAUGCUGCCCGAAUCCCGUGCGGUAAAUGUGGCGGUUAUGUGGAAGAAAAAAAGGCGGC
rfam:Human gut metagenome DNA, contig sequence: F2-W_007749.